rnacentral:rRNA from 1 species
AGCGAACGCUGGCGGCAGGCCUAACACGUGCAAGUCGAACGGAUCCUUCGGGAUUAGUGGCGGACGGGUGAGUAACACGUGGGAACGUGCCCUUUGGUUCGGAACAACUCAGGGAAACUUGAGCUAAUACCGGAUGUGCCCUUCGGGGGAGAGAUUUAUCGCCAUUGGAGCGGCCCGCGUCUGAUUAGCUAGUUGGUGAGGUAAAGGCUCACCAAGGCGACGAUCAGUAGCUGGUCUGAGAGGAUGAUCAGCCACGUUGGGACUGAGACACGGCCCAAACUCCUACGGGAGGCAGCAGUGGGGAAUCUUGCGCAAUGGGCGAAAGCCUGACGCAGCCAUGCCGCGUGAAUGAUGAAGGUCUUAGGAUUGUAAAAUUCUUUCACCGGGGACGAUAAUGACGGUACCCGGAGAAGAAGCCCCGGCUAACUUCGUGCCAGCAGCCGCAGAAA